ensembl:lncRNA
UCUGAUGUUAAAUAUUAGAGAAACUCCUCCAUCAGUUCACAGUUGAUGAAUUCACUUGAAUGUGUGAUGAAAUAUCUUCAGCAAAAGAAAAUACGACUGACUAAAUUAACUCUUAUUAGAAUAUUUUAUAAUAACACUGAUAACUGAUGAUAGACAGAAACAUGUAUUUUUUCAUUACUGAUACUUUCUAUUGAAUGAAUAUUAUACUGUCUGUAUUUUCAGGAAACACCUCUAAACCCGUGUCAGGAAAAAAAGGAGGAAAGGUCACACUCACAUGUGAACAUGAGGCCAAUAAUAUUGUUCACAUUGAGUUAUCCAGUCGGUCAGGAGACAUAGAUGUGUGUCAGACUGAAGAAUGUAGAGGACGAGUGUUUAAAGAAGGAAACUGUGACGUCGUCAUCAAGAAUCUGAGCUUCAGUGACGCUGGGAAAUACUUUCUGCAUCUCUAUUACAAUAAUGAUCAGAAAGAGCUGGAGCGACAAAUCAGGACGUACCAACUUCAUAUUCAUGAUGAGAUUUCUGUGAAAACAGGCGAGGAGCUAAAGAUGUCUGUUCUGUUGUCUAAUGCUGAUAAAGUGAAGACAAACUCUAGUGGAGAGUGGAAGGAGGUUUGGAGCAGAACUGAUGGGGUUCAGAGCGAUCGAAUGAAUGAAACUGAUGGAAACCUGAUCAUUAAAGUGUUUCUGGACAGAGAUGCAGGAACAUACAGAGUUCUGGACUCUGAAGAAGAAAUCGUGAUCACAGUCACAAUCACAGGUGAGAGAAACUCAGAUAUGUGGAAAUAUUAUUAUAAAGCUGAGGUUUAUUCAUCAUGAUCUGAACAUCACAUUGAUGCUGAACUGUGAGACUGAACUCUCAAUAUCUUCUACAGAAUCUAGUACAGAAUCAAAGGAAAAACUGGACACAGAUGACGACAAAACUGAAGACACUGAACAACACAGUAAGUCACAUAGGCAUUUAGAGCUUUACAAAUUCUUCAAGCAAUGAGUUUGAUAAUGAAAAACUUUUUUUUUUUUAAUGUGCUCUCUUCCCAUCUUUCCUCUUCCAUCUGUAGAGAACUGGAUUGUGUCAGUUGUAGUGUGUUUGGUGACUCUGGCUGUGAUUGUGAUUUCUGUCAUCAUAUGGAGACGUCAGCACAGAGAUCACACACAGGUUCAAGAGCACACACAGGAACUGAAGAGACCUAUACUGCACGUGACUCAACUGCACAGGAGUCCUGAACACCUGAGAACCACUGGUUACUUGUGAUGUGCCUUCAGUUCCAAGAUGAUUCUGUCAACAUAUAACAGCUGCUGGGGGUGACAUGUAUGGUUAAAAAAUGUAUAGUUGUUGUUUUAAUGAUGUGUGAGCUGACAUUAAUAUCAUCAAAAACAAGCCUUGAGAGUCAACAAUUUCAUUGCGUGAUGAAGUCUAGUAGAAUGCAGUUAGAAUGAUCUGAAAUCAUCAUAGAUAAAAAUGAUCAACUUUGUUGAUUAGCACUGAUCAUUCACUCUAAGGCCAGCAGAAUAUGAUUAUGAUUAUGAUCCUCACAGUAUAACAGAGCAACUGGAUCUCCUGAUUGUACUGUAAUUUCUAUGUAUUUCUAUGUAUGCUUUGAACAUCUGUUGAAAUCUGUGUCAAUGCAAGGAAGAGGACACACAAAGUUGAGUCUGUGUUCAACCAAGUUUCUUUCAUUUUAAACAUCUUCAGAGUUUUUUAUUCUUUUAAAACUAUUGAAACAAUAUUUAGUGAGAACUUUUUUUUUAUUUGAAAAUCUGUUUAUAUUACAACCUCGAUACAGCAAAAUUGUAACUUUUUUUAAUUAUUUAUUUUAAUAUUGCAUUUGAUAAUAUUAUACAUUUAUGUUUUUGUCUGUCAUUUAACUUGAAAUCUAGAAGCAACAUAUGUUCGAUUGAUUUUACAUUCUUGUUGUUCUUUAUAAACUGCACCAAAUGAAUCAAUAGAUGUUUAGGAUAAAAAAUAUUUAUCGUAAGUCAUUCUUAUUCAAGUUUCAAGUUUUUUCAAUUCAAGUUUAUUUGUAUAGCGCUUUUUACGAUACAAAUCAUUGCAAAGCAACUUUACAGAAAAUUAAGUUUCUACAAUAUUUAGUAGUAGCUUAUCAGUGGUGACUGUCAGUUCAUGUGCAUAUAGCAGAAAUGUUCAGAAAAAUCAAUAAAAAGACGUAAACAAACA